rnacentral:rRNA from 1 species
GGGUUGUGAGGUUAAGCGACUAAGCGUACACGGUGGAUGCCCUGGCAGUCAGAGGCGAUGAAGGACGUGCUAAUCUGCGAUAAGCGCCGGUAAGGUGAUAUGAACCGUUAUAACCGGCGAUUUCCGAAUGGGGAAACCCAGUGUGAUUCGUCACACUAUCAUUAACUGAAUCCAUAGGUUAAUGAGGCGAACCGGGGGAACUGAAACAUCUAAGUACCCCGAGGAAAAGAAAUCAACCGAGAUUCCCCCAGUAGCGGCGAGCGAACGGGGAGGAGCCCAGAGCCUGAAUCAGCAUGUGUGUUAGUGGAAGCGUCUGGAAAGGCGCGCGAUACAGGGUGACAGCCCCGUACACAAAAGCGCAUGUGCUGUGAGCUCGAUGAGUAGGGCGGGACACGUGGUAUCCUGUCUGAAUAUGGGGGGACCAUCCUCCAAGGCUAAAUACUCCUGACUGACCGAUAGUGAACCAGUACCGUGAGGGAAAGGCGAAAAGAACCCCGGCGAGGGGAGUGAAAAAGAACCUGAAACCGUGUACGUACAAGCAGUGGGAGCACAGGUUUACCUGUGUGACUGCGUACCUUUUGUAUAAUGGGUCAGCGACUUAUAUUCUGUAGCAAGGUUAACCGUAUAGGGGAGCCGGAGGGAAACCGAGUCUUAACCGGGCGUUAAGUUGCAGGGUAUAGACCCGAAACCCGGUGAUCUAGCCAUGGGCAGGUUGAAGGUUGGGUAACACUAACUGGAGGACCGAACCGACUAAUGUUGAAAAAUUAGCGGAUGACCUGUGGCUGGGGGUGAAAGGCCAAUCAAACCGGGAGAUAGCUGGUUCUCCCCGAAAGCUAUUUAGGUAGCGCCUCGUGAAUUCAUCUCCGGGGGUAGAGCACUGUUUCGGCUAGGGGGCCAUCCCGGCUUACCAACCCGAUGCAAACUGCGAAUACCGGAGAAUGUUAUCACGGGAGACACACGGCGGGUGCUAACGUCCGUCGUGAAGAGGGAAACAACCCAGACCGCCAGCUAAGGUCCCAAAGUCAUGGUUAAGUGGGAAACGAUGUGGGAAGGCCCAGACAGCCAGGAUGUUGGCUUAGAAGCAGCCAUCAUUUAAAGAAAGCGUAAUAGCUCACUGGUCGAGUCGGCCUGCGCGGAAGAUGUAACGGGGCUAAACCAUGCACCGAAGCUGCGGCAGCGACACUCAGGUGUUGUUGGGUAGGGGAGCGUUCUGUAAGCCUGUGAAGGUGGCCUGUGAGGGUUGCUGGAGGUAUCAGAAGUGCGAAUGCUGACAUAAGUAACGAUAAAGCGGGUGAAAAGCCCGCUCGCCGGAAGACCAAGGGUUCCUGUCCAACGUUAAUCGGGGCAGGGUGAGUCGACCCCUAAGGCGAGGCCGAAAGGCGUAGUCGAUGGGAAACGGGUUAAUAUUCCCGUACUUGGUGUUACUGCGAAGGGGGGGACGGAGAAGGCUAUGUUGGCCGGGCGACGGUUGUCCCGGUUUAAGCGUGUAGGUGUGUGUUCCAGGUAAAUCCGGUUCACUUUAACACUGAGGCGUGACGACGAGGCACUACGGUGCUGAAGCAACAAAUGCCCUGCUUCCAGGAAAAGCCUCUAAGCAUCAGGUAACAUCAAAUCGUACCCCAAACCGACACAGGUGGUCAGGUAGAGAAUACCAAGGCGCUUGAGAGAACUCGGGUGAAGGAACUAGGCAAAAUGGUGCCGUAACUUCGGGAGAAGGCACGCUGACACGUAGGUGAAGUGAUUUACUCAUGGAGCUGAAGUCAGUCGAAGAUACCAGCUGGCUGCAACUGUUUAUUAA